UUCAAUAUCCAUUAAACUAAUCAUAUGGACCCUAGACUCUUCUUGAAACAAAAAUAAAUAAAAAAGACCUUAAAGACUUAACACAAAAAGACCUACGGACUAAUUGACAAAAUAUAAAAAAUACACCUAAAACCUAGACCGUAAUGCCUUUCACCAAAAGGAGGACACUAAAAAAGGAUUGGAGCGCCGUAUUACUCCAAACAAGACCCCCUCAUAUGAUCUUCGUCUUCUUCAGCAAACAAUUCUGAAGUAGCACCGUCUUCAUCCAAGCCUCCUACCACAUUUCUCUUCUUCUUCUUCAACCAAACAACACUGAUAUCUGCCCGAACUCACCUCUGAAUUUCAGCCCAACCACCAUUAAAAUACUACUAUUUCGGUCCAAAAUCUAGCUCAAAAAUAGCUGAAAAUACUUUAAAAUCAGGUGGAGUUCAUCUUCGUCGUUUUGAUUUAGUUCAAGUUUUCCGGUGAGCUUCGAGUCGUCGAAAGUUGCUGUCCGAUUCUCCGUUCAGUUGCACGCCGAGGAUGCCUUCGCCAGCUUUGGUGAUGUCGUUGAUAGAGAGUUCGGCGCUAUCUUGAGCUAUUUUUAAUUUAAAUUUUUAUACAAUAGAAGCAAGUUGGAUGAAGAAUAUGUUUGUCGUUUUUGUGAACGAAAAUAUAUUGUCCUAUUUGUAUCUGUUAAUUUUCGUAAAGGAUGCUGACGUUUUCUUGUUUAUGUGUUCCUCUUGCUAAGUAGGCUAUUGCUUAUUAGAUGAUUUCUACAUUCGAAUGUCAACUUUGUUCGAUUUCAGUCUUUCAUUUUUAUCUCCCAUUAAUUGCGUAUGCUUGAUAAUAAAAU
rnacentral:lncRNA from 1 species